UACAGAGGGGGCAAGCGUUGUUCGGAAUUACUGGGCGUAAAGGGCGCGUAGGCGGCCUUCUAAGUCGAACGUGAAAUCCCCGGGCUCAACCCGGGAACUGCGUCCGAUACUGGAAGACUUGAAUCCGGGAGAGGGAUGCGGAAUUCCAGGUGUAGCGGUGAAAUGCGUAGAUAUCGGGAGGAACACCUGUGGCGAAAGCGGCGCACUGGACCACAACUGACGCUGAGGCGCGAAAGCUAGGGGAGCAAACAGG
rnacentral:rRNA from 1 species